UACGUAGGGUGCAAGCGUUGUCCGGAAUUAUUGGGCGUAAAGAGCUCGUAGGCGGUUCGUCGCGUCGGCUGUGAAAACCUGAGGCUCAACCUCAGGCCUGCAGUCGAUACGGGCGGACUUGAGUACUGCAGGGGAGACUGGAAUUCCUGGUGUAGCGGUGAAAUGCGCAGAUAUCAGGAGGAACACCGGUGGCGAAGGCGGGUCUCUGGGCAGUAACUGACGCUGAGGAGCGAAGGCGUGGGGAGCGAACAGG
rnacentral:rRNA from 1 species